rnacentral:rRNA from 1 species
CCCUACGGGGUGCAGCAGGGAGAAGAAGUGCAUGGCCACCCUACGGGGUGCAGCAGGCGCGAAAACUUUACAAUGCUGGCAACAGCGAUAAGGGAACCUCGAGUGCCAGGUUACAAAUCUGGCUGUCGAGAUGCCUAAAAAGCAUUUCAUAGCAAGGGCCGGGCAAGACCGGUGCCAGCCGCCGCGGUAACACCGGCGGCUCGAGUGGUAACCGUUAUUAUUGGGUCUAAAGGGUCUGUAGCCGGCCGGAUAAGUCUCUUGAGAAAUCUGGCAGCUUAACUGUCAGGCUUUCAGGAGAUACUGUCUGGCUCGAGGCCGGGAGAGGUGAGAGGUACUUCAGGGGUAGGGGUGAAAUCUUGUAAUCCUUGAAGGACCACCAGUGGCGAAGGCGUCUCACCAGAACGGACCUGACGGCAAGGGACGAAAGCUAGGGGCACGAACCGG